rnacentral:rRNA from 1 species
UACGUAGGUGGCGAGCGUUGUCCGGAAUUACUGGGUGUAAAGGGCGUGUAGGCGGGAUGUAAGUCAGAUGUGAAACUCCGAAGCUUAACUUCGGAACUGCAUCUGAAACUGUGUCUCUUGAGUGCUGGAGAGGAAAGCGGAAUUCCUAGUGUAGCGGUGAAAUGCGUAGAUAUUAGGAGGAACACCGAUGGCGAAGGCAAUCCCCUGGGCGUGCACUGACGCUCAUGCACGAAAGCGU